rnacentral:rRNA from 1 species
GACGAACGCUGGCGGCGUGCUUAACACAUGCAAGUCGAGCAGUAAGGCCCUUCGGGGUACACGAGCGGCGAACGGGUGAGUAACACGUGAGUAAUCUGCCCAUCACUUCGGGAUAACUCCGGGAAACCGGUGCUAAUACCGAAUAUGACCACUUCAGGCAUCUGAUGGUGGUGGAAAGUUCCGGCGGUGAUGGAUGAGCUCGCGGCCUAUCAGCUUGUUGGUGGGGUAGUGGCCUACCAAGGCUUCGACGGGUAGCCGGCCUGAGAGGGUGACCGGCCACACUGGGACUGAGACACGGCCCAGACUCCUACGGGAGGCAGCAGUGGGGAAUAUUGGACAAUGGGCGAAAGCCUGAUCCAGCAACGCCGCGUGAGGGAUGACGGCCUUCGGGUUGUAAACCUCUUUCAGCAGGGACGAAGCGCAAGUGACGGUACCUGCAGAAGAAGCACCGGCCAACUACGUG